ensembl:lincRNA
GCAGAGGCUUAACCCUCUGAGCCACCCAGGCGCCCCUUACAUCUUAAUUUAAGGAUAAAAACAUACCAGUGUUCUAUACACAUAGAAUCACCCCCAUCUCCAAACACUAACAUCCAGAAUGGGGCGAUGUGGUAGUGGGAGCCAGAAGAGGCCAAAGGUGGGGUGGGCCACAUAGCAGGAGAAGCUUUUCCUGGAAGACUCCCCCCAUGGCAGAUGCUCCCCCAAGAAUGUCCCACAGAUACAGGUCCACAGGGAUGGUUAGAAAUAAUGAAAGGAUCCUGUUGGCUUCUCAGGGUUCAGCACCACCCGCCGUGGGUCCCUUCAGUCUGGGACCCCAGAUCCCCUGUCCAGGAACACAGAGGGAUAUGAAUGGCCAGUGUCCACUCAAACUGAAGAGUGUGAAAAGCCAAGUCCUGGAAGGCAUCCCUGACAUACAUACUUUGCAGAUGUUGGAAAGGGCUUGGUCUGCACACCUGGGGAAGAAAAAAAAAAAAAAAAAAAAAGACAUCCUUUCACCCACAAAGUACUCAAUUGUGCAAGCCACAGAGUCACCACAUGGCCAGCUUCCUGAAGCUGGCCGGUCAGAGACCUUAGCGUGCAUUCCUCCGCCAACCAAAAAGGAUGGUCUGAGUCCCAUAGACUUGAUUGUUCGAUGUUUCUCAGCAAGGGCUGCCUCCCUUGUUCGCCUCCUCGCAGAGUUCUGGGCUGUUCUUCAUUACCUGUCCUACCUAUCUGCACAAUCUAGCCGCAAACAGCUUCGGUUGACCACACCACUUCCCUAUUGAAAGUUAAUACUGUUUGACUCAUUCUGUGUUACUAACCUGAAGCCAAAGAAAACAAGGCAGAGAAUAAGCGGCUUGUAUGGAGUUUGGAAAGCUCUCAGAGGCCCUGCUUUCAAAAUCCUAUACAGUAGCUUUACUAUAUCUCUCUGCUGCAGCUGCAAAGAAAUGAAGGAAGCAGAAGUGGUUAAAAGGAAAAAGAAAAAAAAAGCUGGGGGUGGGGAGAGCCAGGGCAGGAUUUGGGGGGUGGGGGGGGUGGAGGGCCCCACAGGCUGCAGGAGGACUCAGCAUCAUCUACACCAGCCUUUGAACGCCUUGUCAUGGAGCUGGGAUUCUGCCUCCACGCACCGGAGUACUCGGACAGAGGAGGGACUGUUGGCGGAGUUCAAAGGAGAGAAAGUUCAAAACAUGCCUGGGAAAGGACAGUCUCCUGUUGCAUGUGGAGCGGAGUGGGGCUGGGCCGCGGGUCCCAGCAAGCCAGGCUUCCGUAGGCAGAGCCCCAAGGUAAAAAGACAGAGAGGGGCAAGUGUGUUCCUUUCAGAUCUGGGAAGGAUUUGCCGGGAGAAGGUUGUCUGCCUUUGCUAGGGAAGUAUUGACAGCCUCUUGUCCUUCAUUCUAUAACUGGCUCAGAUGUGGUCACCAGGGUAAACGGAGCAUUUGUGUCUUGGUAUAAAUAGAACGUUCCCUCCCAGCGUCGCCCGGCAGCAGUGGGACUUGUGUUGUCAUCACCGCGUCGCGGCUCUUUGGGGAUCCCAGGCAAAGAGCCUCUUGCCCGUUCAGAUAAUGGAUGGAGGAGGACCUCCUCCCCUCCAGAUGGACGCUUCUUCUCAACUGUAUGUUGGCUGUGAGCAGAAGUUGGCCUCAGUGAGGUCCUCGUGCCCCCAGACAACCUGAAAGCGUUUUCUUUCUUUCUUUCUUUCUUUUUUUAAAGAUUUUAUUUAUUUGACAGAGGAGAUCACAAGUAGGCAGAGAGGCAGGUAGAGAGAGAGGGGCAAGCAGGCUCCCUGCUGAGCAGAGAGCCCGAUGCAGGACUCGAUCCCAGGACCCUGGAACCAUGACCUGANNNNNNNNNNNNNNNNNN